rnacentral:lncRNA from 1 species
AGAAAUCAAUUAGGACGCACCUGAUAUAAGUCCUUGAUGACGUGUGUCAUAUGGAAUCUUGCUUCGGUUCGUUUAGAGACCGUGUUAGUUUUGGUAAAAGAUAUGUGCACGGUUUAGGCCUAAUGCACCAUAGGUUAAGAAACCAUUUCAGACGCACCCGAUGGUACUCGUAGUUGAAGAGGCUCAAGUGGAGGCUCGAUUUGGUCUGUUCAGAUAUAGUGCUAAUCUUGAUGCAAGAUAGUUGCACAGUUUGAUGGAACAUACCAUAUGUUAAGAAAUCAAUUUGAACACACCCAAUGUGAUGAGGACAUCAACACCAUCGAUAUAUCCGCACCUACACCAGUUGGUUCUCUUACUCAUGCUCGUGCCCGUCAACUCAACCUUCAAGUAAGUUCAGUUUUAAACUCUUGUCAAUCAUAUUUAGACAAUGGAGACACGUGCACUUUCGUGUUGCUCAGGAAUAAUGGACAAGAUCAGCAAGGGAAGGUUCAACUGCAUUCGGAAUUUGAGGCAACACCAACUUCAAGGGCUGAUUGCAUAUAGGAAGAGUGAUAACUUAACAAAGGUG